ACUUAAAUAGCUUAUUUGAGAGCGUGGUAUUGAAGAUACCAAGGAAAUAAUUUUUAUUUUUGAGUG
rnacentral:tRNA from 1 species